UCGCGUUUAGCUCAGAGGGACGAGAGCAUCUCUUUGCCAAAGAGAAGGUCGUGGGUUCGAAUCCUACAACGCGCU
rfam:Candidatus Staskawiczbacteria bacterium RIFCSPHIGHO2_02_FTLL_34_9 rifcsphigho2_02_scaffold_11320, whole genome shotgun sequence.